rnacentral:rRNA from 1 species
GAAAGAAAGUAAUGGAAAACUAUAGGUGAAAUUUUGUUUUCUUUAAUGUUCUUGUGGGGGUGAGCCGUGUAACCGAAGUGAGGGACCAGGAUUAGAUACCCUGUUACCGUCGGCGUAAAGUAUGGAUUCCUGCUGGGCAACUACGUCUUAACAGAUAAAAGUCGAAGUGUUUGGCGGUUCAAGAUACCGGCCCCGUGGGACUUGACGGUUAAUCUGAUGAUCCGCAUUAUCCCCUACUUAUUCUUAAGCUGGUGUAUGGUCGUCGUAAGUUUACGUUGUAAGACUGUAGGCCAGAGCCAACUUGGUUGGGUGAAGUCAGAUCGUUAUGCCGCCAUGAAUAAGGCUUAGUUGAGUCACAUUUAUUAGAUUUCGGAAUGCUUGUAGAAAUACGAGCAGGAAGGAGGAAUGGGAAGUAAGAAGAAAAUAGUUCGUUCUUCUGAAUGGGGAUCAUUUUGAGUGUACAAAUCGCCCGUCGUUUCCGAAUUUUGGAAU